AUAUAAAUAUAUAUGUUCUAAUAUAUAUAUAUAUAUAUAUAUAUAUAUGUAAAAAUCAAAACACACAUGGAAAUGAAGGGAAAUUCAGUGCAGUGUCCAUUAGGGAAUUUGUAAGGAGGUAGAAUUGCAAAUCGCUUAUGUUUCUUUUAUUUUUCAAUUUUUUAAAUUAAUUCAAAUAUAACUGGUUUAAUUCCAUUUGUGUUGUUUUUAUUUUUAUUUAUUUUUAGGUUUCAUUACAUCUUAGACAGUAGUGUCUUCUGUAGCCUUUUCGCACUGAAACACAUUAAGCCAUAAAGAUUAUUAUUUUUUAACUACCUCAUCAUAAGCUUCUUUAAAUGGAAAGGCACAUGUCAGGCAUUUGGAUGUAAUGGGGAAAAAAGAUACUGAGGAAAAAAAGGGAAGCCCUCUAAGUGUCACUUCGAUGGUGCAGGUGUCAUGCUAGGCCCUAUCGCAGGUGGAUGAGGGGACAUCAUCACCUCCCCCCUCCAGCCCUGUGUCAUCAGACCUCCUGCUCCUCACAGGCCAGGGGUGGGACUCGGGCUUUUCCUCCUGCACUCCGGAGCCAGUUAUGCCAGUAUAUCAUUGUUAAGCUGGAUACAAAUUCCAGCUUUGAGUUAUUUUGAAAUGCAGAAUUGUGGCAUAUUAUAUCUCAAUUUUGCACCUUAUCCACAAAACACAACGAGAAAAAUGGCUCAAUUGCCAAAUCUUCCUCUUGAUACAAUUUUAAGAAUUUCUGUAAUACCCUCAUUUGUUCAGAAAUUAUACGUUAUUUUUGUAAAUUUAUGUGUGGGAAUAAUUACCUUAAGAUCUGCAUUUUAGGCUAGAAGUUCAAAAUACCAGGCCAGAAGAAACCAUUAAACAGCAAGCAGCCCAAGUUCACAAUCUUCCGAGCAACUUGUUAAGGACAAGUUUAGCUGAUGUCCUUACAACAGAACUGGAAACUACAUCUUCAAAAUGUCUACACCUGGAUGCAAAAAAUCAACUUCUUCAACAAGAGUUAUCAUCAAUGAAAGCUUUCGAAGAAGAACGUGAAAAACUAGAGAGCAAUAACAACAAGUUACAACAAGAAGUAGUAAAAUUGAAACAUUUUAUGGAAAUAAAUAUGGUAAAACGCAGUCAAGUGGAACAGUAUAAACGGGAGAUUGAAGAAAGAGCACGACUGGACAUAGUACAAAAAUUACACGAAGUCAACCUGAUUUUACAGGCACAAGCAGCAGCUCAAGAAAACUUGGACCAGUUAAGAGAAAAUGCUCAUGCUUCAACGAGAAGUCAAAUGGAACUUAGAAUUAAAGAUCUGGAAUCUCAGGUCUAUACAAUGAAGACGU